rnacentral:lncRNA from 1 species
CUUAGAUCAAGCCAGCCGCAUGACUAAACUGCUCACACCCGAGGGAUUGUUUCUGCGUGUUUGUCUGACUCUGCUGUAGUGAAGGAAACAGGUGCUGAAAAAGGGUCUCGCUAAGUUGUUAAAUUGCUUACCCUGGGCUCAAACUUGUGAUCCUCCUACUUCAGCCUUCCAGGGUGCUGGGAUGACAGUUGUUGGUGCCCUUGCUGAUGAAUUCUAUAAACGACACUCAUGGACACUGAUGAGAAUCUGAUAGUCCUGUGGAGAGCAAAGAGUUGAUCCUGAACCAGUGCUGGGGAUUGAAUCCAGGGCCUCACACAUGUUAAGCAUGGCUGUACCACUGGGCACACCCCAGCCCUGUCCUGGCUUCCCCCACUACAGAGGCAGUGAUGAGGGGGAAGAGCCUGGAUGCUGUGUCACCCAGACAGACUCUCUCCUGCAACUUCUGCUGUCCUCCACUACACACAACUAGAGGCCAGGUGAGCCACCCUUCAUUCAUUCAGGAGGCAGCUGUGACUUGGGGCAUCUCUCACCCUCCCUCACCCUCGAUUUCUUCCUGCAGUAACAGCCUCUCAGGGCCAAUGGGAAAGUUAAAGAACCAGAACUGCAUAGCUGGUGCUCACGUGAAAACAAAGGGCCUGUCUGGCCUGGUUACUGUUCUCCGUCUCUGAAGGGCUCCAGGCAGUGCAGGCACAGCCUCCCACCUUGCUAAUGCUCUGCCAUUACUCCUUCCUGUGCUGUCCUCCCUCCGAGGGUUGGAGGCCCACACCAGCGGAGAAGGUGCUGUUGACUCACUCUCACAACUACCAGUCUUUGUGUUAUCAGGGCCACAAUAAAACACUGCCUUUAAAAAUUCAG